CACUUCUGCAUUCUGCCUUGUUAUGAAGGGAGGACGUGCGUUAAGUGUGAGACGGGAGGACUUCCUGAAAUGUGAUGGAUCCCAAUCAAAGGCCCGCCAAUGCAUCCGUUCAGAGACAAGAUGCCACUGACCUCCCCGGGCCUCUUACUGACGAUCCUUUUGAUCUCUACGAGAGCGCUGGGAAGAUGUCCUCCACUGAAAUCCAACCCAGCCCCCCCAGGCCACCACCAAUCCGUCGCCCUCCUCCUCCGCUCAGAACCAGACUUCCCAGUGAAUGUUUGCCGGGUACCAAAGGCCAAGCACCCGUUCCUUUACCUCGCAAGGGGCGAAUACCCCUCAGCAACAGCAAGAAGCAGCUAUCCUGUGACCUCACUGAUCACGCUCCCAAACUGAACCGUUCCCGUUCGGAAAUACACAAUCAUGACCCAUGGACGAUCGCACUAAUAGACACUCCAGAAGGCAGCACCAGGAGGCUGACGUCUUUUUGUGCAGCCACUUCCAGCCUCAUGUCACGACACCGGCACACAGACAUCCUCCAUAACUCGGGUUUGGUAUGGAGUCGUUUGUUACGAAUCAAUCCGGCCCUCCUGCAGCAGGUGGAGGUGAAUGUCAGCGUGGCCACCGAGUGGGACAAUCACCAGCUCCCCUUCCGCACCGCGGUGAACAGGACAGUGAAGAGUCUGAUCGAUGAAAUCUUCCAGCUGCUCGACCUCCCCCCCAGCCCAAGCGGAUGUCAUUAUUUGAAACUGUGCAACUCCGAUGAGUAUCUCGAAAAGUAA
ensembl:lncRNA